rnacentral:lncRNA from 10 species
AUGGUAGUGUGCACCUGUAGUCCAAGAUACUAGAGAGGCUGAGGUGGGAGGAUCACCUUGAAGAUUGAUAUUUACACUGUCACUGUCUCAAACGCUGAGUGUACAUUCUGUCUAGUUGGAAACUGCUUUUGUGGUGGCACUGCGACUUGACAGGUUAAUGACUGCUGUCCUUUUUUCUUCUCUCAGUACAUCCAGCAGUGGUCAUUCGACAACGAAAGUCAUACCGUAGAAAAGAUGGCGUGUUUCUUUAUUUUGAAGAUAAUGCAGGAGUCAUAGUGAACAAUAAAGGCGAGAUGAAAGGUUCUGCCAUUACAGGACCAGUAGCAAAGGAGUGUGCAGACUUGUGGCCCCGGAUUGCAUCCAAUGCUGGCAGCAUUGCAUGAUUCUCCAGUAUAUUUGUAAAAAAUAAAAAAAAAAACUAAACCCAUU